rnacentral:rRNA from 1 species
UACGUAGGGUCCGAGCGUUGUCCGGAAUUACUGGGCGUAAAGAGCUCGUAGGCGGUUUGUCGCGUCUGCCGUGAAAACCCGAGGCUUAACCUCGUGGCUUGCGGUGGAUACGGGCAGACUGGAGUUCGGCAGGGGAGACUGGAAUUCCUGGUGUAGCGGUGAAAUGCGCAGAUAUCAGGAGGAACACCGGUGGCGAAGGCGGGUCUCUGGGCCGAUACUGACGCUGAGGAGCGAAAGCGUGGGGAGCGAACAGG